GAGGGAGGAGAAGCUGAGAAGGAAGAAAUGAGGGAAGAGGGAGAGAAAAGGGCAGGUGGACAGAGAGAAAGAGGGCCAUGGAGUGGGACAGAAGAGGCAGUGACAAGCCACACCCAGGGACCCUUUGGUGGCACUGGAAAGCCAGAACCCCUGUGUGUUAAUGUCCCCAUUUAGCCCACCCUCAUGUGCUGACGCCUCCCUGGUGGCAGCUGAGAAGGGUAGAGAGCACACCAGCUCUGGCCCUGCUUGUCUGCAGUUCUAGAGCCAUGCUUCCCAGGAGCAGGGUGAGGACCCCAGGGGCUCUGCCUUGCUCUCCAAGCCUGGAAUAAGGUCUAUAGGCCCUGAUCUGUGGAUGGCAUUCAGUGGCAUGCUCUAUACUUCACAACCUGUGCUCCCUCUGUAAUAGAUGCUUUUUUAAUCUGAA